AGAGUUUGAGUCCUGGCUCAGGAUGAACGCUGGCGGCGUCGCUUAACACAUGCAAGUCGAACGAAGCACUUAAGACGGAUUACUUCGGUUUGAAGUCUAUUUGACUGAGUGGCGGACGGGUGAGUAACGCGUGGGUAACCUGCCUCAUACAGGGGGAUAACAGUUAGAAAUGACUGCUAAUACCGCAUAAGCGCACGGUCUCGCAUGGGACGGUGUGAAAAACUCCGGUGGUAUGAGAUGGACCCGCGUCUGAUUAGCUGGUUGGCGAGGUAAGGGCUCACCAAGGCGACGAUCAGUAGCCGGCCUGAGAGGGUGAACGGCCACAUUGGGACUGAGACACGGCCCAAACUCCUACGGAAGGCAGCAGUGGGGAAUAUUGCACAAUGGGGGAAACCCUGAUGCAGCGACGCCGCGUGAAGGAAGAAGUAUUUCGGUAUGUAAACUUCUAUCAGCAGGGAAGAAAAUGACGGUACCUGACUAAGAAGCCCCGGCUAACUACGUG
rnacentral:rRNA from 1 species